rnacentral:rRNA from 1 species
UACGGGGGGAGCAAGCGUUGUUCGGAUUUACUGGGCGUAAAGGGCGGGUAGGCGGCCACUGCAAGUCGGUUGUGAAAUCUCCGGGCUUAACUCGGAAAGGUCAAUCGAUACUGCAGGGCUAGAGUGCAGAAGGGGCAACUGGAAUUCUCGGUGUAGCGGUGAAAUGCGUAGAUAUCGAGAGGAACACCUGCGGCGAAGGCGGGUGCUGGGCUGACACUGACGCUGAACUGCGAAAGCUAGGGGAGCGAACGGG